UACGUAGGGGGCUAGCGUUGUCCGGAUUUAUUGGGCGUAAAGAGCGUGUAGGCGGCCAGGUAGGUCCGCUGUGAAAGUCCGAGGCUCAACCUCGGAAUGUCGGCGGAAACCCUCUGGCUAGAGUCCGGAAGAGGAGAGUGGAAUUCCCGGUGUAGCGGUGAAAUGCGCAGAUAUCGGGAAGAACACCCGUGGCGAAGGCGGCUCUCUGGACAGUUCCUGACGCUGAGGCACGAAGGUCAGGGGAGCAAACGGG
rnacentral:rRNA from 1 species